AGGAACUGCCACCCCUCCCAGGGACAGCCUGUCUCUCCCACUCACCAUCGCUGGUGCCCACGGGCUGCUGACCACCUGCCAAGUCCUCCUGUCCCUGGACCAGCCUCUCAGGCAGCAGGUCUUACCUUUGCCUCCAGGGCACUGAUCGAUGGCAGCUUUGUCUCACUGUAAGGCAACCCAGACAGAGCUGAGGGCCUGUGCUGGGCCGGGAGCUGUCCUCCUCCUUCCCUAGCAGUCCUAGGGAAGGACCAGCCGUGUCUCUCCCCACCCCACCCCUGGUCUUAGCCCAGGAGACACACAGGGAAGGUAGGAAGAGGGUCUCCCUGUGGGCUGACGCCUGUGAAGGGACAGGACCUGGGAGAAGAGGGGUGUGUGGGUGGGGCAGGGACCACUAGGGCCCUGUAGAGCAUGGGCUUGGGCUACACAACAGGGCUGCCCCUCCUGGGCUAGAGGCAGUGCCCUCUGCAGGAGCUGAGAAAGUCCAGUCCUGAGAAAGGACGUGUAUGGCCCAGGGUGGGUGACUGGGCCCCAAAAGCAGUCCUCGAGGGAGUGACCACAUUACCAGGCCAGGAUCCUGAGACCUGCCCAGUGCACUGAGGGUGCACCUGGGGCCUGUCCCACCUGAUGUCCCCAAGUGCCCCGCAAGGUCUGAUCUCUCAGCCUCCAUCUACCUCCCCCGGGGGGUGGGGGCUUGCUUUGAGCUGUCCCCACCUUUCUGGAUAGAACUAAUGUACUUCUUACAUAUAUUGAUUGAUGUCUCAUGUCUCCUUAAAAUGUAUAAAAGCAAGCUGUGGGCCAGGCGCAGUGGCUCACGCCUGUAAUCCCAGCACUGUGGGAGGCCGAGGCUGGUGGAUCACGAGGUCAGGAGAUCGAGACCAUCCUGGCUAACACAUAGAAACUCCAUCUCUACUAAAAAGUACAAAAAAUUAGCCAGGCGUGGUGGCGGGCGCCUGUAGUCCCAGCUACCUGGGAGGCUGAGGCAGGACAAUGGUGUGAACCCGGGAGGUGGAGCUUGCAGUGAGCCGAGAUCGCACCACUGCACUCCAGCCUGGGCGACAGAGCGAGAUGCCGUCUCAAAAAAAAAAAAAAAUUAUCUGGGCAUGGUGGUGGGUGCCUGUAAUCCCAGCCUUUCAGGAGGCUGAGGCAUGAGAAUUGCUUGAGUCUGGGAGGCAGAGGUUGCAGUGAACUGAGAUCGCGCCACUGCACUCCAGCCCGGGUGAUAGUGUGAGACGCCGUCUCAAAAAAAAAAAAAAAAAAGCAAGCUGUGUCCCAACCACCUUGGGCACAUGUCGUCAGGACUUCCUGAGACCAUCACGGGUGCAUCCUCAACCUUG
rnacentral:lncRNA from 10 species